rnacentral:snoRNA from 1 species
AGCUCCAAAUUUCUUACCUCUCAGAUCUAAAUUUUGGUCUGGGUGACGAAAAAAGGAGAAAAGUAAAAUCGAUGUGGACUUGGGGUCUUUAAUGACAUUCAAGUUCAUUUCAAACAUAA